GACGAACGCUGGCGGCGUGCCUAAUACAUGCAAGUAGAACGCACAGUUUAUACCGUAGCUUGCUCCACCAUAAACUGUGAGUUGCGAACGGGUGAGUAACGCGUAGGUAACCUGCCUGGUAGCGGGGGAUAACUAUUGGAAACGCUAGCUAAUACCGCAUCAUAUUAAUUAUUGCAUGAUAAUUGAUUGAAAGAUGCAAUUGCAUCACUACCAGCUGGACCUGCGUUGUAUUAGCUAGUAGGUGAGGUAACGGCUCACCUAGGCGACGAUACAUAGCCGACCUGAGGGGGUGAUCGGCCACACUGGGACUGAGACACGGCCCAGACUCCUACGGGAGGCAGCAGUAGGGAAACGUCGGCAAUGGACGAAAGUCUGACCGAGCAACGCCGCGUGAGGGAAGAAGGGUUUCGGAUCGUAAAGCUCGGUUGUAAGAGAAGAACGGGUGUGAGAGUGGAAAGUUCACACUGUGACGGUAUCUGACCAGAAAGGGACGGCUAACUACGUG
rnacentral:rRNA from 1 species